rnacentral:lncRNA from 1 species
UCCAGGCAGCCUGUGCUCAAGUGAGCAUGGUGCCCAGCUUAUCCAUUCUUCCUGGGUGAUCCUCUCCAUCCUUUUCUUCAUUCAUUCUCUCCUUCCUUUAAGGUUACUUGAGCACAUGAUGUCAGACAUUGUGAAGGAAGAUGAAGUACAAAAGUAAGGGUUUCUCCAUUUUUCCCAUACCCUGGCCCCGACCAUUGCCCAUUAUGGAUCAGCAUCCACUUAUCAGAGAGAACAUUCAGCCUUUGUGUUUUUUGGGGGAUGGACUAACUUUGCUUAGCAUGAUACUCUCUAACUCCAUCCAUUUACCUGCAAAUGCCAUAAUUUUAUUCCCUUUUAAUGCUGGUGAUAUUCCAUUGUGUAUAUAUACCACAGUUUCUUUAUCCAUUCAUCUAUUGAUUGCUUCUACAGUUUAGCUAUUGUGAAUUGAGGUGCUAUAAACAUUGAGGUGGCUGUGUCACUAUAGUUAAGUCUUUUGGGUAUAGAAAAAGGAGUGGGAUAGCUGAAGGUGGG